GGGGGCUUCUCAUCCUUCACCGCCGCCGCAGCCACCGCAGCGACCGCGGAGGGCUUCUCCUCCUUCGCCGCCUCCUUCGCCGCCGCCGCAGCCACCGCAGGGGCCAUCGGGAAGAAAGACAGGGGGAUUGGAGAUGGCUUCUUAGAGGGUGAGAUUCUUUUAAUUGUUUGGGUUGGAUGGUUGCCGUGCUGUGAUGUAGCUUGGGAAUGAUAUCUCUUGAUGAUCCUAUAUAGGUUGCUAAUUUUUGGCUUUAAUGAGAACAACCAUAAGGAAAUGGUUGGAAUUGUUGGUUUAUGUACUAGUGUGAAUAGAAGCUUGUUUUUUGAAGGGAAAUUACUUACUUGAGAAUGAUGAGCUUGAUCUUCCAAAUAUAUCGUUUAGUCAGUUUUAUAUUCAGGACAUAAGAAAAAUACUGUGGCUUCCCGUCAAGGUAAUCCAUGCAUUUAUGAUGUUCUUUACCAUUUUGCUCUUAGUCCUCUAACUCAAAGCCUUUUUAUGUGAUCUUGGAUUGAUGAAAGUUCUCUCUCACGCAAUUAUGGUUAUUACUCUAAUAAUUGAUAGUAGUUAAUUUCUGAGUUUUAUGACAAAAAAUAGUGGUUGAAAAUCACUGCUCAUUUAUUUAGAAACCUUGAUCCGCAGAUAUAGGUUGUGGGUCUCUGCUGUAAAUUAGGAACUCCCACAUGCUUGUCAAUGUUGUAGAUGUUUAGCUUUCAAAUAAUAUUCUUAUUCAUCCACUUCCUUUUUCUUUGUCAGCUCCCUAUGUGUGGAGUUCUCUACUAAGUAUUAUUUACAAUGCUUAUGUAAUCUCAGUACCCAUUUCAUUUAGUAAUAAAGUUGACCGUCUUAUCUUUCUGUAUUUUUCUUGAUUAAGCUAUAGGUCCCUAAAUUUGAAAAUGCUCUUGGUAUCAAAGUGAUAUGCAUAUGUUAUCAUUCUAACUUGAUGACCAUUUGUUGGACAAUGAAGCUGUAAUCUCAAUUUCAACAGUUUCAACACUUCUGUUUAGAAGGUUUAUCUGGAAUAGUAUUUAUAGCUUUACAUUAUUUGCUUGAUAAACAGAGGAUUGUUUUAGCAGUGUUUUGGAG
rnacentral:lncRNA from 1 species